rnacentral:rRNA from 1 species
GCUUGUCUCAAAGAUUAAGCCAUGCAUGUCUAAGUAUAAGUAUUAUACAGCGAAACUGCGAAUGGCUCAUUAAAACAGUUAUAGUUUACAUGAUAAUCGAAUUUACAUGGAUAACCGUGGUAAUUCUAGAGCUAAUACAUGCUGGCGUGCCCGACUUUUGCGGAAGGGCGGUAUUUAUUAGAUAACAGACCAGCAGCUUCGGCUAUUGUGGUGAAUCAUAGUAACUAAUCGGAUCGCAUGGGCUAGUCCCGCGACAAACCAUUCAAGUUUCUGCCCCAUCAGCUUUCGACGGUAGUGUAUUGGACUACCGUGGCUUUUACGGGUAACGGAGGAUUAGGGUUCGAUUCCGGAGAGGGAGCCUGAGAAACGGCUACCACAUCUAAGGAAGGCAGCAGG